GACGGAGGAUGCAAGUGUUAUCCGGAAUCACUGGGCGUAAAGCGUCUGUAGGUGGUUUAAUAAGUCAACUGUUAAAUCUUGAGGCUCAACCUCAAAAUCGCAGUCGAAACUAUUAGGCUAGAGUAUAGUAGGGGUAAAGGGAAUUUCCAGUGGAGCGGUGAAAUGCGUAGAGAUUGGGAAAGAACACCGAUGGCGAAGGCACUUUACUGGGCUAUUACUAACACUCAGAGAACGAAAGCUAGGGUAGCAAAUGGG
rnacentral:rRNA from 1 species